rnacentral:rRNA from 1 species
ACAGAAAUUACAUUGAUGAUUGUGGAUAACUCUGUGCGUAAAAAGGUAUAAAGCGGGCUUUUGCUGGGGAAUGCAGCAGUCAGUCAUUUUUCUGCAAUUUUUCUAUUGCGGCCUGCGGAGAACUCCCUAUAAUGCGCCUCCAUCGACACGGCGGAUGUGAAUCACUUCACACAAACAGCCGGUUCGGUUGAAGAGAAAAAUCCUGAAAUUCAGGGUUGACUCUGAAAGAGGAAAGCGUAAUAUACGCCACCUCGCGACAGUGCGCUAAAGCGCGUCGCAACUGCUCUUUAACAAUUUAUCAGACAAUCUGUGUGGGCACUCGAAGAUACGGAUUCUUAACGUCGCAAGACGAAAAAUGAAUACCAAGUCUCAAGAGUGAACACGUAAUUCAUUACGAAGUUUAAUUCUUUGAGCAUCAAACUUUUAAAUUGAAGAGUUUGAUCAUGGCUCAGAUUGAACGCUGGCGGCAGGCCUAACACAUGCAAGUCGAACGGUAACAGGAAGCAGCUUGCUGCUUCGCUGACGAGUGGCGGACGGGUGAGUAAUGUCUGGGAAACUGCCUGAUGGAGGGGGAUAACUACUGGAAACGGUAGCUAAUACCGCAUAACGUCGCAAGACCAAAGAGGGGGACCUUCGGGCCUCUUGCCAUCGGAUGUGCCCAGAUGGGAUUAGCUAGUAGGUGGGGUAACGGCUCACCUAGGCGACGAUCCCUAGCUGGUCUGAGAGGAUGACCAGCCACACUGGAACUGAGACACGGUCCAGACUCCUACGGGAGGCAGCAGUGGGGAAUAUUGCACAAUGGGCGCAAGCCUGAUGCAGCCAUGCCGCGUGUAUGAAGAAGGCCUUCGGGUUGUAAAGUACUUUCAGCGGGGAGGAAGGGAGUAAAGUUAAUACCUUUGCUCAUUGACGUUACCCGCAGAAGAAGCACCGGCUAACUCCGUGCCAGCAGCCGCGGUAAUACGGAGGGUGCAAGCGUUAAUCGGAAUUACUGGGCGUAAAGCGCACGCAGGCGGUUUGUUAAGUCAGAUGUGAAAUCCCCGGGCUCAACCUGGGAACUGCAUCUGAUACUGGCAAGCUUGAGUCUCGUAGAGGGGGGUAGAAUUCCAGGUGUAGCGGUGAAAUGCGUAGAGAUCUGGAGGAAUACCGGUGGCGAAGGCGGCCCCCUGGACGAAGACUGACGCUCAGGUGCGAAAGCGUGGGGAGCAAACAGGAUUAGAUACCCUGGUAGUCCACGCCGUAAACGAUGUCGACUUGGAGGUUGUGCCCUUGAGGCGUGGCUUCCGGAGCUAACGCGUUAAGUCGACCGCCUGGGGAGUACGGCCGCAAGGUUAAAACUCAAAUGAAUUGACGGGGGCCCGCACAAGCGGUGGAGCAUGUGGUUUAAUUCGAUGCAACGCGAAGAACCUUACCUGGUCUUGACAUCCACGGAAGUUUUCAGAGAUGAGAAUGUGCCUUCGGGAACCGUGAGACAGGUGCUGCAUGGCUGUCGUCAGCUCGUGUUGUGAAAUGUUGGGUUAAGUCCCGCAACGAGCGCAACCCUUAUCCUUUGUUGCCAGCGGUCCGGCCGGGAACUCAAAGGAGACUGCCAGUGAUAAACUGGAGGAAGGUGGGGAUGACGUCAAGUCAUCAUGGCCCUUACGACCAGGGCUACACACGUGCUACAAUGGCGCAUACAAAGAGAAGCGACCUCGCGAGAGCAAGCGGACCUCAUAAAGUGCGUCGUAGUCCGGAUUGGAGUCUGCAACUCGACUCCAUGAAGUCGGAAUCGCUAGUAAUCGUGGAUCAGAAUGCCACGGUGAAUACGUUCCCGGGCCUUGUACACACCGCCCGUCACACCAUGGGAGUGGGUUGCAAAAGAAGUAGGUAGCUUAACCUUCGGGAGGGCGCUUACCACUUUGUGAUUCAUGACUGGGGUGAAGUCGUAACAAGGUAACCGUAGGGGAACCUGCGGUUGGA